rnacentral:rRNA from 1 species
GGCGUAAGGGGCAGUAAUACCUGGGAACGUACCCUUUGGUCGGGGAUAGCUGCUGGAAACGGCGAGUAAUACCCGAUGAACUCGAGAGAGCAAAGGCUUGCCGCCGGAGGAGCGGCCCAGGCGAUAUUAGCUAGUUGGUGGGGUAAUGGCCUACCAAGGCUUAGAUGUCUAGCGGGUGUGAGAGCACGACCCGCGCCACUGGCACUGAGACACUGGCCAGACACCUACGGGUGGCUGCAGUCGAGAAUCUUCGGCAAUGAGCGCAAGCUUGACCGAGCGACGCCGCGUGCGGGAUGAAGGCCUUCGGGUUGUAAACCGCUUUGGUCCGAAAGAAAGGGUAAAACUUGAUCGAUCGGAGAAACAAGGACGGGCUAAGUUCGUGCCAGCAGCCGCGGUAAGACGAACCGUCCAAACGUUAUUCGGAAUCACUGGGCUUAAAGGGCGCGUAGGCGGCCGAGCGGGUCACGGGUGAAAUCCCCCAGCUUAACUGGGGAACUGCCCUUGAUACCACUGCGGCUCGA